rnacentral:rRNA from 1 species
AUGAACGCUGGCGGCGUGCCUAACACAUGCAAGUCGAACGAUGAAACCGCCCUCGGGCGGACAUGAAGUGGCGAACGGGUGAGUAACACGUGACCAACCUGCCCCUUGCUCCGGGACAACCUUGGGAAACCGAGGCUAAUACCGGAUACUCCUCCGCCCCCUCCUGGGGGGCCCGGGAAAGCCCAGACGGCAAGGGAUGGGGUCGCGGCCCAUUAGGUAGUAGGCGGGGUAACGGCCCACCUAGCCCGCGAUGGGUAGCCGGGUUGAGAGACCGACCGGCCACAUUGGGACUGAGACACGGUCCAGACUCC